rnacentral:rRNA from 1 species
UACGUAGGGGGCAAGCGUUAUCCGGAUUUACUGGGUGUAAAGGGAGCGUAGACGGAUAAGCAAGUCUGAUGUGAAAUCCCACGGCUCAACCGUGGAACUGCAUUGGAAACUGUUUAACUUGAGUACCGGAGGGGUGAGCGGAAUUCCUGGUGUAGCGGUGAAAUGCGCAGAUAUCAGGAAGAACACCGGCGGCGAAGGCGGCUCACUGGACGGUAACUGACGUUGAGGCUCGAAAGCGUGGGGAGCAAAC